UUCUUUAUCCAUUCAUCUAUCAGUGGACACUUGGUUGCUUCCAUAAUUUGGCUAUUGUAAAUAAUGCUGAAAUAAACAUAAGGGAUGCAUAUAUCCCUUAGUAUUAGUGAUUUUGUAUUAUUACUGGGUAAAUACUCAAUAGUGUGAUUGCUGGAUUAUAAGGAUGAUCCAUCCAUAUUACUCAUUUUCA